AGUGAACGCUGGCGGUAGGCCUAACACAUGCAAGUCGAACGGCAGCACAGUAAGAGCUUGCUCUUACGGGUGGCGGGCGGCGGACGGGUGAGGAAUACAUCGGAAUCUACUUUUUCGUGGGGGAUAACGUAGGGAAACUUACGCUAAUACCGCAUACGACCUACGGGUGAAAGCAGGGGAUCUUCGGACCUUGCGCGAUUGAAUGAGCCGAUGUCGGAUUAGCUAGUUGGCGGGGUAAAGGCCCACCAAGGCGACGAUCAGUAGCUGGUCUGAGAGGAUGAUCAGUCACACUGGAACUGAGACACGGUCCAGACUCCUACGGGAGGCAGCAGUGGGGAAUAUUGGACAAUGGGCGCAAGCCUGAUCCAGCCAUACCGCGUGGGUGAAGAAGGCCUUCGGGUUGUAAAGCCCUUUUGUUGGGAAAGAAAAGCAGCAGGUUAAUACCCCGCUGUUCUGACGGUACCCAAAGAAUAAGCACCGGCUAACUUCGUG
rnacentral:rRNA from 1 species